rnacentral:rRNA from 1 species
UACAGAGGGUGCAAGCGUUAAUCGGAAUUACUGGGCGUAAAGCGUGCGUAGACGGUCAUGUAAGUCGGGUGUGAAAGCCCCGGGCUCAACCUGGGAAUUGCAUUCGAGACUGCAUGGCUAGGAUGCGGAAGAGGGAAGCGGAAUUUUCGGUGUAGCGGUGAAAUGCGCAGAUAUCAGGAGGAACACCGGUGGCGAAGGCGGUUCUCUGGGCAUGAUCUGACGCUGAGGAGCGAAAGUGUGGGGGAGCGAACAGG